GCUUAGACCCAUUAGGAAUAUCAACAUAGAUUAACAUCGUCGCCGACCCUUCCCUUCCCUGAAGCCUCCUCCGAUGAACUUCCUGUAACGCCGUCUUUCUCCAUUGAUUUAUACCUUAAAUCCGUUCAUUAACUAGCUUGACUCCACGCCUCCCACUCUAUAGCAUCUUUAUACGCAACCGACGGGAGGGCUCCGAGCGUUAUACAGCUCCAUCUCUGUUCUCGGAGAAAUGCCAAGAGAGGAAGCGAGCUGAUGGGGGUUGACAUGCUAUUCCUUGACGAAAGUCUACAGGAUGAGCGGUUUCGACGUAAAGCGGAGCAACAACAUUUGGCACUUAUUUUUAAAAGUUAUCAAGAGUCCGCUAAGCUGAUACUAACUGAAGUUUUCCUUUUCCGUCAUACGGCCAACUGCUUGCUUUGGCGAACAGAAACAGACAGCUACCUGGGAUGUAACCGUCUGUGUCAGUAUGUUUAACCCCUUGGCUUGCCUUCAUAACAAAUUUGAAAGCUACGGAAGUGAACCAAAUAUUGUCCUUGGAGUUGUCAGAGAAACAAAGUCGUCAAAUUAAGCUCCUCCAACGAAAAAAUUAUUUGGUUCGGAUUUAAAAGACAAUGUUUUGUCAUUCUCACUGGUUUGUUGCUUGAUAAUUGCAUCUUGAACAACAAAGAAAAGAGUUAUAUGUUCUGUUUUUUUUUUUACUUUUAAAUUUGGGGUUUCUACGAUCUUUCAGAACAGGGUGGGUGGUACUGGAAUGGACAUGAGAAGCACAGCCAAGGAACUAUGAUGGUUCCAACACUUGGUGAAGCUCCUCGGGAAGAUAGUGAAGUGAUCUUAUAGUAAGGCCUCUCCUGCAAACCAACCUUGCAGAUUAUACCAUCAGCUCCUGCUAACAACAACAACACAUGCCACAAUGCAUUUGUUGAAAGGCACAAUAGAGGAGGAAGCGAAAGCUAAGAAAAUUAAUAUCACAUGUAUGAGGACGAGAUCACAUGAUUGGUCUAUAUGAAGCUCUGCGGGUUUAGCCUCAGGCAUGU